rnacentral:rRNA from 1 species
CAGUCGCCGCGGUAAUACGUAGGUGGCAAGCGUUGUCCGGAAUUAUUGGGCGUAAAGGGCUCGCAGGCGGUUUCUUAAGUCUGAUGUGAAAGCCCCCGGCUCAACCGGGGAGGGUCAUUGGAAACUGGGAAACUUGAGUGCAGAAGAGGAGAGUGGAAUUCCGCGUGUAGCGGUGAAAUGCGUAGAGAUGUGGAGGAACACCAGUGGCGAAGGCGACUCUCUGGUCUGUAACUGACGCUGAGGAGCGAAAGCGUGGGGAGCGAACAGGAUUAGAUACCCCCGUAGUCCCUGUCUCUUAUAC